UGUGUGUGCGUGCACGUGAGCGUGUGUCUUCAACCAGAAGUGGAAUUGUUCUUCAAUCAGAACAACUGCAGAGCCACAGUCUCUCCACAAAAGUUAGACUGUGGACACAAGGCAUGAACGCAGUAAAUAAAUGUCUUCAGGAGUAUAAAGAAAUCAACCAUACGAUGAAGGCACUACUUUCUGUCUGCCAUGAUUUUUGCAGUGUAUAGAGUAGAUUAUGGAAAGCAGAUGGCUUUAGAGCAAUGAAAACUUAGGUUCAUGUCCUGAACUAGAUAUGUCCUAACAGUAAAUGUGAAUCAGUAUGGAACCUCAAAUUCACUUUGUAUUUGAAGUUUUCUUUGACUCUGUGCCAAAGUAAUAUUUGGCCUGUCAGGGAAGGCAGAGUCUCCGGUGUCCUGAGGUAGAGGCAUUUGCUGUUCAUCUCGAGCCCUGAGGUGCUCGAAAGUGUUAGCUCCUAGCACCAACUUUGUUUAUGGACACAGUAAAUGGAAAUUGCUUGGUACAUCAGCUCAGGGAGAUGUGUUUAGCACACACAGAAAGGAGAGCCGUGUUCUCACAGGCUUUACGGAAAUCAAGUCUGAAGGUUUUUCUCUCUGCAAGUAAAUCUUACACCUUUGCUUUGGCCUUUCCACACCCCUAUCCCCCCUUCCCCAUAUUCAGUAGGGAGCUGGAACACACAUGGGUGGGCUAUCCCGUCUCACCCACCUUGUAGCUGUCUUUCCUUUAGUCUUUCAUUUCAUCACCUAACACGAAUUUCUAAGUUUAGUUGGAAGUGGGUAAAUUAGUCAAAGACAAGUAAGUAUACAAUGCUACUGGGACGAUUAGUAACUUUACUAGGACAUAGCUUUGUAUGAGCCCUGUAUGUAGACUUUUCCAACGGGAACAAUUUUAUUUCUGAGCGCCAUUACGGUCUCCAGAGGUUUUUCUUCUCUCCUCUUCCUCACUCAACAAACAGGGUGACUACUUGUAUGAAAAUCGUGACCUGAUAUAGGAAAGGGCUCUACUGAGUUUCUCGUGGCAUCAACCUCAAGUACCUUUUGCCCUGGUGGGGACCAGAAUAGCAGUGUACAACAAAUAACACAAGACAUCAUUGUAGGUUACAUGGUUGUGCUAAGCAAAGGCUGGUGGUGAAAAAAAACCUGGUGGUGAAAAGAACAAUAUGGGUUUGUUUGUUUAUUGAGAAAGUGUUACCCUAUAAGGGAGAUUCCUCUAAAAAGUCCUUUGUAGAGUGUUUGUACAAUGAAAAAGAGAAUAGAAAAGCCGCACGUGCAAGGAACAGCUUAGGUGCCUAUUUGCCCCAGAGUUCAGGAUGGGAUCCUUUUUGUAUCCUAAGGAAGCAUGGCUUUGAAUUUUUUUUUUUUUUUGCUUAGAAAAUGAAUUGUUAAAGGUUGUUUUCAGCUGGUAGAAAAUUCAGCUUGUUAGCAUUUCUGUAAUCUUUAUUGUAUGAUGUUUUUGUAUAGCCAUUUCCUCUGAUUUCUACAGGAUCAGGGGCUUGAGAGAAACCAAAAGUCACAAGUCUGAGGAAGUGGCUUAUCAUUCCUGAAGACCCUUCCCAGCUUUAUAGAAGAGGUGGGGCACUGCUGGGUGAGGCCACUGAGCAGUCCAGCUGCAGAGAGAGGACUCUCUGACCGUGGGGCUGCUGCAACUUCUGCAAACCAUCGACAUGCUAGGGUGAGCUUUUCAGACGGUGUUGUUAGCCAUCCUUGUUCCUAUAAGUCACCCUCAUGAGUAUUUCUGUUAGUAGCCCAGUAAAACUUCACAGUAGUUGGUCUUUGUUCUGUAAUGGGUUCCUAUGUGAGAUGUGUAGAUGUUUAUGCAUGUGUGCAUUCGUAUGUAUGUGUGUGCAUGUAUGCAUAGAUGUGGGCACAUAUGAGAGCAUGUUGGAGAGUGCAUAUGUCUGUGUGUAUGUGUGUGUGUGUGUGUGUGUGUAUUUAUAUGUAUGUGUACGGGUGCAUGUGUGUGUACAUGUGCAUGUGUGUUGUUGCUAUCCAUGAAAAGUCUGACAUACAACAAAAGAAUUUCUGUCUUUGCUCCCAGCUCCAUAGUGAUAUUUAUGUGCACUCGUUCUCUCAACUGUGUCUGAGAAAAUGUUCAUGGCACUAUCUUUUCUAGGAGCAAAACAUUCAGAAGAAAGGCUUAAACUCUUGAAGGAAAAUGAGCUUUCUGAGGUGCACAAUCACAGAUGAUCAGUUUGAUUGCAGCCCUUCUCAAAGUAAUAGCAGCCCUUGUCUUUUGACAUAAGACACAUCACUGAUUCACUGCCAACGAAAUUAUGUGCAAGUAAUUUUAUUAAAAAGGAAUCUUAAUGUACAAGGAUGCAGUCAAACAUAUGCUUACAUUUUAUUUCUCAUAAGGAAUAAAUAAGGCAUUUACUAGCUAACGAGUCAUUUAACUUGAUAAACAUGCAUUAAGCAUCUAUUUCAACAAGUUCAAAGAAAAACAAAAAUGUAUGAGUUGUAUCUAGAGAAAGACCGAGUUCUGCUCGGUAAAUUGGCUCUAUAUAAUAAUUAAUGUACAGACCUGGCUGUAUGCCACCUAAGUAACAUAAUAUGCCUACAAUAACCAAUGACUUUGUGAGGGAGAGAUUUUGACAGAGAUUGGAAUAUUAGGCAUAAUGUGGAGAUGUGUAUUUCAUAUGCUAAUAGAAGGGGCGAUCCAAAGUAACAAAUAAAGUUAGGGUCCUAGCGGGGACCUGGAAAGGGCUCUCGCUUGUGUCGGACAAACUCAAAUCUUUGGGAAAUAAAGACAGGAAAAUCCCAUUUUAAAAUGAAGCUUCAAAGCUAUUGAAAACUUGAAAACCAGGCUUUUGAUGUACAGUUCAUUCUCAAUUAAAGCUAAAAAUACUCCUGAAAGAGCAGAAGUCGUAAGAGGGCUUAGAUAACUCUUAUGUGGAAUUAGUGGGGUGGAAGGAGAACUAAUAGGAAAAUCUCAUCCCUCUCUGGAAAACACUUCGAUACGUGGAGAAAUUCUGAACCUGGAAGAGCCAUCUUCUCGGGUCUCCAGCCAUCUGUGCGGUGAGCAGGGAGGGCCAAGCCUGGCAGCUUGCAGGCAGUGACAGGUGUCUCAGCCACCUGGCCCCUCUGGGGAGAACAGGACUCAGGGCUGCAUUGGUGAGUUUGUUAAACACAAGACAUUAUCUGCAAAUGGACCUGAGGAUCCAAGGCACUCUGGCUGACAAGCAGAGAGGUGCGAGAGGCCAGAAGCUGUUACAGGGCCAAUCCUCUCCGCCCAUCAGUAUCCCAUUCAAUACUAAGGGGCAAUGCCAGCAAGUUUCCAUUUGCUAAUGCAAUUCUUUGAAGAUCAUGUUUACUAAUGAGGUAUAUUUAGACUUGGGAAUUUAUUACAAGACUUUUUAUAUCACGUGCUGAGUUUGACUGAUGAGCAUCUACUCCCCUUAGGCACACACUGGUUAUGCUUGAUAUAACUAUAUAACUUAAUAUAGGGCUAAAAAUAAAAGGGACAAGGAAUGACCAUUGCGUGCUCUUGGACUUUCAGACCUCUGCGCUAGGAUCCUUUCCCCGAAGCAAUUGUGAGUCAGGAGAGGAGCGGGUUCUACCGACCUGUGUUGAAAUCUGUUUCGUUUUAACAAGAAACUGUGAUUAAAGCGAUUAGAAAGAAAGAAUGCAGAGAAGAAGAAAGUGCACUUGAGAGCUAGCCUCAAAUGGUGAGCAAGAGAGUUACUAUGUGUCAUAGUUCUGUCAGAAUUUGAUAGAUAAUUUUCCUGACGUGAACAUUUGAGUAUUGUGACCCAAAGUUUCAACCAGGAAUCUAUGGACUGAUUCUCACACUACAUAAUGUCUAUAUGUUAAUUCAAUGUCUCAAAAAUGUGCUGUUUUUAUAUACCAGUGAGCUCCAUUAAUAAGAGUAUUUUAUUUCUCUUUCCUUGUUCAGGGGAUAUAAAUAUGACUUAAAGGUCUUGGGUACUUUAUUUGUAAACGGGGUAUGUAAAACGUUUCUUUUUCCAAAGUUGAGAGAACCAUUGCCAUAGGUCGUAGCUAGUAUGUCUUCAUAAGACUGAGUGAGAAAUUUUAUCUGUUUUUUUAGUCACCCCUAUCAGUAGAAUCACUUUCAGCACUAAUGACUGAUACUAUAUAGAUAAAAAUAAAUAAGUGAACAUUCACUCCAGGGAGCCAUAGCCCUUUAGCUGUAGUAUAGAGUAGCUCUGAGUAUCAGCACACAAUCCUGCCUUCUCUCUCUGCAUAUGUUCUCAUACGGUGUCCCCACGGUGCAGAGAAAACUGGUCAGAUAGAGCAUGCUCAGUUGGAGAACACUGACUAUUACUAAUCUGACAGCAGAGUGGAAAUCGUGUUUCUUUUGCAUUUUAGAAUUUAGAGAUUAGCUUUGUAAUACUAUAUUGUCUUUAAAAAUAAGUAUUUUGAAAUAACCCCUUAUGACAACAUCAAAGAAGUCACUUGUGGGUUAAUUAUCUCUCACACAUUUAAAAAUUACCCUGCAUUUUGUGGGACAGAUGCAACAGACUUUUUUGUUGUUUUGUUGUUUUCUUUUUUAAACGUAGUAGUAGGCAAUGGACAUAUUUCCAGGGUAAGCUCUCAGCUCCAGGCAGGAAGCAUACAUCCUGACAUCCAGCAGAGAAAACAGGACUAGAAGCCUGCAUUUGCUGGCAAGGAAAAGAAGUGAACUGCAUACUGCUCUUUCUAAUUGACUCAAACACACCUCAUUACUUACAGAUAGGAACUCAUUCUAUGAUACCCCCUUACGGUUUUCAUUAGAAAAGUUAAGCACCUCAAGAUUCCUCUCUAAACUUCUAGCCAGUCUUUACUGGGCUAGAAAUGGCAUUUAUUGAGGAACAUGUGGUCGGACUCACCUUUAGAACAGAUAAUCUUGCACAUUUAAAUUGAUGCCCAGGACCAGAUGUGAAAGACAGAACUAGAAAACUGGAUUUGCUGAAAACCAGAAGCUACGUUUUAAUUUCCGAGGAUGCAAAGAAAAGGAAUGACCAAGGUUGAGAUGGAGAAUUAUGACAACACAGUAGCAGAAAUAACAAAAAUGUGCCCUUCACUUUGCUCCUCUCUGGUGGCAGCCUCCCUGCCUUCACUGGCGUCUACAGUAUACACUAGGAGUUUAGUUACAUUUUUUUGUCUGCUGCGAUGAAGAAAAGGAGAAACACAUUUUGGCUUCUGCUAAAGAGAAGUUAAAGGACAUGCCCUACAGAACCAGGAGACGAGUAAGAUUUGAUGGAUGCAGAAAGCUGGAAAUAAAGAUACAUGUGAGAAUACUUCCCAUCCUCCAUCACACUUUCUGACAUUUCCCAAGGGCUCAGAGUACAUUUUCAGUCACAUAAUGGUAUUGAAUUAAGUAACGGGGAAAUAUAGGUAACAUUGAAGUUACAAGAAAUCCUUUUCUUAUUCAAUUAAAUCUAAUCUACUAAAUCCAGAGCCAUAUAUUUGCUGUGCUGUAACUUUGUGUUUGUGAAGCAGAGACUAGCUAUAAAUUGUCUCUGCACCUUUUCUUCAUGGUGUUGGCUGUAAUUUCUUUGCUUUAAUAGAUGAGAAGACCGUCAGAGGAAAUGGACUCGAGCCCCUUGGUCCAGCUGCAAGCUUUACCCCGAUCUGUGAGUCUCCAGCACUGAGGAAAGUGUUUUAUAAUGUUUCCCAAAUCUUAAAGCCAGGAGGGCAUACCAGGAAAUACUUAUGUAUUGAUUUUUGUUAAUUUUGAAGAUAAAUUCACUUCAUAACAAUUAAAUUUACUUUCUCAACAGAGAUAAACGUAACAGAAAAAUCAGUAGACAUAAUCUCACAUUAUCAAUAUAUCAUCAAUAUAGACCUCUGGAACAUGUUUAAUACAAUUAAACAUUUUAGGACUUUAGACUUACUAUGAAAAAUUGUGAGAAUCAUCAUUUUUUUUUCAGGUAAGCUUCAUGGCUUUAACAGACCUCUGUGUAUCUUCGUCUGCUAGUGGAGUAUUUGUCAUUAAGUCAUUAAUGCUUAUUAAAUACUCGAUAAUAGUAAAUUUUGCUUAAAUUGGAUAGGAUAUGUAUAAUAUUACAAUGUAUAAUUUCUACCCUGUAAAGUGGAUUAGCACCUGGUAAAAACUGAAUAAGGAACUGAAUUUACAAUGACCAUGUGAAAGACCAAGAGGACGUUUCUGGAUUUACGUCUGUGUUCACAGCAUUAUUUCAUAUAUUUAUUACUAUGUUUAAAGAAAACUCAGCUCCUCUCUGACCCUCAUAGAGCAGAAUACAGCACAAGCUUGGAUUUUGGUUAAGUGUAGAGUCAUUUUAAAGUCUGGAAAUGUUUUAGCAUUCCACGGGUCCGUGGCAGUUCUCAUGUUUCCUGUGAGACUGUAAUAGCAGAAGACAUCGCUCUUCGUAUCCUUCUGUAAUAGAGGUUGAGGAAAAAUGCAUUCGAUGUGAUCAGAGGGGUUGUUUAUUAAUCACCAGUGUGUCGUCGAAAACCUUGUCUAUUGUCACAGACUUGGAGCUAGCAAAAACAAAAACAAAACAAAACAAAACAAAACAAAACCGCCCCAUUUGCUUUGCCUGAGGUCUAUGAAAGUUUGAGUCCUUAGAAACAUGGGUGACAAAUUCCAGCAUCUCCUCCCCCACUUGGAUUUUUGAUACAGUGUGAGUUUUCAUUGCUUUUCCUUUAUCUACCAUUACUCCUUUUUCUUGAUAUCAAUCCGUCUUU
rnacentral:sRNA from 1 species